CAAGUCGAACGAACUCUGGUAUUGAUUGGUGCUUGCAUCAUGAUUUACAUUUGAGUGAGUGGCGAACUGGUGAGUAACACGUGGGAAACCUGCCCAGAAGCGGGGGAUAACACCUGGAAACAGAUGCUAAUACCGCAUAACAACUUGGACCGCAUGGUCCGAGUUUGAAAGAUGGCUUCGGCUAUCACUUUUGGAUGGUCCCGCGGCGUAUUAGCUAGAUGGUGGGGUAACGGCUCACCAUGGCAAUGAUACGUAGCCGACCUGAGAGGGUAAUCGGCCACAUUGGGACUGAGACACGGCCCAAACUCCUACGGGAGGCAGCAGUAGGGAAUCUUCCACAAUGGACGAAAGUCUGAUGGAGCAACGCCGCGUGAGUGAAGAAGGGUUUCGGCUCGUAAAACUCUGUUGUUAAAGAAGAACAUAUCUGAGAGUAACUGUUCAGGUAUUGACGGUAUUUAACCAGAAAGCCACGGCUAACUACGUGCCAGCAGCCGCGGUAAUACGUAGGUGGCAAGCGUUGUCCGGAUUUAUUGGGCGUAAAGCGAGCGCAGGCGGUUUUUUAAGUCUGAUGUGAAAGCCUUCGGCUCAACCGAAGAAGUGCAUCGGAAACUGGGAAACUUGAGUGCAGAAGAGGACAGUGGAACUCCAUGUGUAGCGGUGAAAUGCGUAGAUAUAUGGAAGAACACCAGUGGCGAAGGCGGCUGUCUGGUCUGUAACUGACGCUGAGGCUCGAAAGUAUGGGUAGCAAACAGGAUUAGAUACCCUGGUAGUCCAUACCGUAAACGAUGAAUGCUAAGUGUUGGAGGGUUUCCGCCCUUCAGUGCUGCAGCUAACGCAUUAAGCAUUCCGCCUGGGGAGUACGGCCGCAAGGCUGAAACUCAAAGGAAUUGACGGGGGCCCGCACAAGCGGUGGAGCAUGUGUUUUAAUUCGAAGCUACGCGAAGAACCUUACCAGGUCUUGACAUACUAUGCAAAUCUAGAGAUUAGACGUUCCCUUCGGGACAUGGAUACAGUGGUGCAUGGUGUCGUCAGCUCGUGUCGUGAGAUGUUGGUAGUCCCGCAACGAGCGCAACCCUUAUAUCAGUGCAGCAUUAAGU
rnacentral:rRNA from 1 species